rnacentral:lncRNA from 10 species
CAUGUCAAUCUUGGUCAUCCAUGACACCACACCGGCAUCAGAGGACCCCAGAAAACUACCCAAAUGAACUCUAUGUUUGGGAAUGGGAAAGGAUACCGGGGCAAGAAGGCAACCACUGUUACUGGGACGCCACGCCAAGAAUGGACUGCCCAAGAGCCCCAUAGACACAGCAGGUUCACUCCAGGGACAAGUCCACGGGCAGGUCUGGAAAAAAAUGUAGGGACAUGGAUGAAGCUGGAAACCAUCAUCCUCAGCAAACUAUCGCAAGGACAAAAAACCAAACACCGCAUGUUGUCACUCAGGUGGGAAUUGAACGAAAACACAUGGACACAGGAAGGGGAACAUCACACCCAGGGCCUGUUGUGGGGUGGGGGGAGGGGGGAGGAUAGCAUUAGGAGAUAUACCUAAUGUUAAAUGACGAGUUAAUGGGUGCAGCACACCAACAUGGCACAUGUAUACAUAUGUAACAAACCUGCACGUUGUGCACAUGGACCCUGAAACUUAAAGUAUAAUAAAAAAAAAUGUAAGCC